ACUUGGCUUAUCCAAUAAACCAAUUGGACUUGAUCCAAUCAAGCCCAAACUAAAUCUAAUUAAAUCAUAUUUAAUUAGACUUAAUCUCAGCCCAUUGGCAUAAUCAAAUUAAGCCAAUUAGCAAUCGAAUUGCUAAUCGAUCCUCCUGCAACACUUGCACUGGGUUAAAUGUCAAUCAUAUUGAUCAUUUAACCCUAGAACGAUUCUUAAUCAUUGAUCAACAAUCCGAUCGGAUCAUGAACUCUAAUGUGUGUGACCUCAUAGGUCCGAACCUAAGUCGGGAGUACAGGAACAAAUUUUUGUACCAAUCGAAGUGAGCAUCUAGCAAUGGUAUCCGAUGACCGGAUAGGUCGAAUGUGUAGAACAACAUCUUUAGAACCCAUGCGGAUAUAGUUUUCAUAUAAUUCAUCCCCUUGACCAAAAUGAUCAUAGGACACCCC
rnacentral:lncRNA from 1 species